ensembl:snRNA U2 U2 spliceosomal RNA
AUCGCUUCUUGGCCUUCUGGCUAAGAUCAAGUGUAGUAUCUGUUUUAAUCAGUUUAAUAUCUAAUACAUCCCCCAGCGGGGGACAACAUAUUAAGCCUAUUUUUAGAAUGGGGAGUCUGCAAAGGGGCUUGCUCCUUCAGCUCCACGCAUCGACCCAGUAUUGCAGGUGCACUUUCAGGGCAGUGGUGGCAUAGCG